UCACCGCCCGUCACAUCACGAAAGUCGGUUGCACUAGAAGUCGGUGGGCUAACCCGCAAGGGAGGCAGCCGCCUAAAGUGUGAUCGGUAAUUGGGGUGAAGUCGUAACAAGGUAGCUGUAGGAGAACCUGCGGCUGGAUCACCUCCUUUCUAAGGAGCAUCUCCGCCUCGGAUCAAAACGAGGUCGUGAACGACGCCGUCGAGGCGUCAUCAAGAAUGCACCUAGGUCGAACGGAAUCUGCCUGGCAGCAAUGCCGGCAAGCGUUUGUCCUCGACCGUCUUUCCUGUUCAGUUUUCAGGGCAUCAGCCCUACGUUUCUUUGACAAUUGAAUAUGGGUAAAGAAAGAGAUGCACGACGUGUCUAUAAGGACACGGAACUGCAGAUCGCAUGAGAUCAAGGCACUUUAUGGUCAAGUUACUAAGGGUUGACGGUGGAUACCUAGGCACACAGAGA
rnacentral:sRNA from 1 species